rnacentral:rRNA from 1 species
UACGUAGGGCGCAAGCGUUGUCCGGAAUUAUUGGGCGUAAAGAGCUCGUAGGUGGUUUGUCGCGUCUGUUGUGAAAGCCCGGGGCUUAACCCCGGGUCUGCAGUCGAUACGGGCAGGCUAGAGUUCGGUAGGGGAGAUCGGAAUUCCUGGUGUAGCGGUGAAAUGCGCAGAUAUCAGGAGGAACACCGGUGGCGAAGGCGGAUCUCUGGGCCGAUACUGACGCUGAGGAGCGAAAGCGUGGGGAGCGAACAGG